AUGGGUGGGGAGGCCGGAUCCGCCGCCACCGCGCAACUAGGAGUCUGGAUCUGCUACGGGGACAAGGCCACCGCCGCCUCGGGGGGACAAGCCCAAUGCCAGUGGAGCUACUCCUCAUCCAGAUCUACCAUCUCAUCACCUUCCAAGGUCAAAGUGACGAAGGCAUUGUGGGCGAGGAAGAACGAGAAGAUGCGGCGGUGCGAGCCUAGGCAGCAGCACGACCAGCUCCAGCGAGGCGACCCGCUCGUCGAUGUAGCCAAGGAGGAGAUGCAACGGCGGUGGCGAGGGUACUUCAAAUUUUUUGUUAUUGUGUUGAUUUUUGUGAUGCUAUUGUGUUGAUUUUUGUGAU
rnacentral:lncRNA from 1 species